rnacentral:lncRNA from 1 species
AAUAUUUUUCAAACUCCAAAGUAUCUUUAAAUAAACGAUAAUUUAAUGCUUUUGGUGAUUCCUGUAGGCUUGCUAGCCAUUUUUGUUUGAAUUGAUCUAUUAAAUUCUGUUUGAUGGUUACAUGUAGCCAUGUUUUAUUUACAAAAAAGAUAUUGUCCCAUACAUAUGACAAGCCACACGUGUCUAAAAUUGACUUGACUUGUUUUAACCAUAAAAUAUUUGUGCCAUAUUUGGCA